GGACCCGUAGCUCAGCCAGGAUAGAGCGCCGGCCUCCUAAGCCGGUGGUCACGGGUUCGAAUCCCGUCGGGUCCGCCA
rnacentral:tRNA from 4 species